rnacentral:ribozyme from 12 species
UUUUUUUUUUUUUUUUUUUUUUUUUUACAACUUUCGGUUUUCUCUCUGUUUUGGGUGA